UUUGUACACACCGCCCGUCGCUACUACCGACUGAAUGGCUCAGUGAGACCCUGGGGCUGGCUCAGAGAGGUCGGCGACGACCACUCAGAGCCGGAAACUUGGUCAAACUUGGUCAUUUAGAGG
rnacentral:rRNA from 1 species